rnacentral:rRNA from 1 species
GAUGAACGCUGGCGGCGUGCCUAACACAUGCAAGUCGAGCGAAGCGGGGACGGGUGAGUAACAUGUGGAUAACCUCCUAUAAGACUGGGUUAACUUCGGGAAACCGGACCAAAACCGGUAACUUCUCGAGGGAUCCGCGCUGGAUUAGCUAGUUGGUAAGGUAACGGCUUACCAAGGCAACGAUGCAUAGCCGACCUGAGAGGGUGAUCAGCCACACUGGAACUGAGACACGGUCCAGACUCCUACGGGAGGCAGCAGUAGGGAAUCUUCCGCAAUGGGCGAAAGCCUGACGGAGCAACGCCGCGUGUGUGAAGAAGGUCUUCGGAUCGUAAAGCUCUGUUAGUAGGGAGGCGGUACCUAAACAGGAAGCCACGGCUAACUCCGUGCCAGCCGCCGCGGUAAUAC